rnacentral:lncRNA from 1 species
GGCCUAAAUUUCUUGAAAUGUGUCCACUCUCUAAAUCCAAAGCCUUUUGUUGAUAUUUAAUCUUGUAAUAGGUUAAAAAGCCUUGUUAACAUCUAAUACUGACUUGAAUUCUUCAAUGUGGUCACUUUUAAAGUAGUCUAGUGAGACAAAACAGUAAUAUUGAUCCUUAGUCUACACCAUAAAAAAUAAAAAUAAAACUAUUUAACAACUUGAAAUUAUCUAAUGACUUAAAGACAAUCUACACAUACAAUUACUACCAACCUUUUAAGUUCAU